CUCCACCUAUCCCAACUCCACUCAUCCGCAGCCCAAACACUGAUCUGUUUUAGUUUGCAUUUUCUAGAGUCGUCCAUAAAUGGAAUCAUCCCAUAUGUACUUGAUUUUGUCUGGCUUCUUUCACUCAACAUAGUUACUUUGACAUGCCUGCGUGUUUUUGCAUGGAACAAUCAUUCAUUGCUUCCUGAGCAGUAUUCCAUUUAUGGAUAUACCACCGUGUGUUUAGUCAGCACUUGAUUUAGCCUGCUUUCAAUUUUUCCUGAUUAGAACUACAGCUGCUAGGAACAUCCCUGUGCAAAUCUUUGUACAGACAUAUACGGUUUUUCCUCUCUGGGGUAAAUACCUGGAAGUGGAAUGCCCAGGUCGUAAGCCUAACCUGAACUUAAGCCGGCAGAUGAGGAUAAGGCUCCCCAGCCUCCCGGAACAAGCAGACAGUUAUUAAUGGAAAUGUUCCACCAGUUCAGCUUUUGGUUAUAGAAAAAUAUAUCAUUACUACUUUUUAGAAACCUCAGAAAUAGACGACUACUACUUCUUAAAAAAAAGGGAGUUUUUGGAAAACUAAAGGAGUUCGCAGGGUCAUACAUCAUCUUUUUCUUUCAUCUUGAAAACUAAGAAACGAAGAAAAAUUGGAUCAUGGAAAUACAGGAAUUUACAUCAGGUCUGUGCUGGGAGCCUUCCUGGGUGAUCCUGUGUUUCCAUCAUUAAUCACUUUGAACACUGCAUUCUCAUUUGGCAGAAUGCUGAAGCCUUACUGGUCUGAGGUGUCAGAGGUCAGAGCCUGAGACUGACAGAGGAGCCACAGGUGACCAGCAAACUGCAGAAGCUCUGGGGAGAACUCCAUGGAGUCAGGCUAAAAACAGCAGCAACCAGAAACUGUAAGAACUGAGCAGAGAUACCAGCUGCACCACUAGAGAGACAAAGUGUGUAGCUCACUGCCUAGUACAGCAAAAUAGCCACAAUCCUCAGAAGGACACAACAGAAUCUGGAAUCACUAGAAAGUAUUAUCUACAAUGCUCAUUCUUAACCAUGCAAAGAAGAAACAGGAAAGUGUGAUUCAAAGUCAGAAAAAAGUCAGUCAAUAGAAAUCUACUCUGUUAGGGACAGGUGUUGGUGAAUUAAGUAAUUAGAGACUCUAAAGCAGCUAUGAUAAAUAUGUUCACAGAGGAAAGCUCAAUAGAGAAAUGAAACUUCAAACAUGGAAAUUUAAGACUUGAAAAGUACAAAAACUAGAAAGAAAAAUUUACUAGGUGGACCAAACGGCAGAUUAGAGAUGCCAAAAUUGCAUAAAUUGAACAGAGAUCAAAAGACGUUAUUUAAUCUAAAAAAUUGAAGAAAAAUGAGCAGAGCCUUAGAGUCCUGUAAAAUAUCAAGCAAGAUAACAUAUAUGUAAUUGGGUUCCGGAGGGAGAGAAGGAAUGGAAAAAAAUAUUUGCAUAAAUAAUGACUGAAAAAUUCCAUGAUUGGCAGAAAACACUAAUUUACAGAUCUAAGAAGGUCAAGCACCCCAAGCAGGAUAUAUAAUUAUAUCACUUCCAUGCAGAAGAGAAAUGCAGAAAGCCAAAGAUAAAGAGCAAAGUGUUGAAAGCAGCCAAAGAAAAGUGACACAUCACGUACAGGAAAAUAGUUCAGCUCAAUGGCUGAAUUUUCAUCAGAAAUACUGGCAUUCAGAAGAAAUUUAAAAAUGCUGAAAACAAAACUAGCAGCCAAGAAUUUUGUAUCAAGCAAAAAUGUCUUUUCAAAAUUAAAGGCAAAAGGAAGCAACUUCCAGAUAAAUUUAAAAGACAGAAUUUAUGCCAUUAUAUUUACACUGUAAGAAAUGCUAAAUGAGGUUCUUCAGGUUGAAGGGAAAUGACCCUGAUGACAACAUGGAUCUACAGGAAAAAAUGAAAAGCAUCAGAAAUCAUACAUAUGUGAGUAAAUAUAAAAUACUAAAUAUUGAUAGAUGAAUAUAUGGAUAGGUACUACACAAACACAUAUG
ensembl:lncRNA novel transcript, antisense to ARMC3and MSRB2